rnacentral:rRNA from 1 species
CACGUAGGGGACGAGCGUUAUCCGGAUUCAUUGGGCGUAAAGCGCGCGUAGGCGGCUUGUCGCGUCGACUGUGAAAACCCGCGGCUCAACCGCGGGCCUGCAGCCGAUACGGGCAGGCUAGAGUUCGGUAGGGGAGACUGGAAUUCCUGGUGUAGCGGUGAAAUGCGCAGAUAUCAGGAGGAACACCGAUGGCGAAGGCAGGUCUCUGGGCCGAUACUGACGCUGAGGAGCGAAAGCGUGGGGAGCGAACAGG